rnacentral:rRNA from 1 species
GGUGGUUGCUCGGAUUACUGGGCGUAAGGGCGUGUAGGCGGAGCGGCAAGUCGGUCGUGAAAGCCUCUGGCUCAACUGGAGAAUGUCGAUCGAUACUGCCGCCCUUGAGGGUAGCAGAGGAGACUGGAAUUCCCGGUGUAGCGGUGAAAUGUGUAGAGAUCGGGAGGAACACCGGUGGCGAAGGCGGGUCUCUGGGCUACUCCUGACGCUGAGGCGCGAAAGCGUGGGGAGCAAACGGGAUUAGAUACCCCGGUAGUCCACGCUGUAAACGAUGGGCACUAGGUGUGGGGGGGGUUCAGUCCUCUCCGUGCCGCAGCUAACGCAUUAAGUGCCCCGCCUGGGGAGUACGGCCGCAAGGUUGAAACUCAAAGGAAUUGACGGGGGCCCGCACAAGCGGUGGAGUAUGUGGUUCAAUUCGAUGCAGAGCGAAGAACCUUACCUGGGCUUGACAUGCCGGAAGUAGAAACCCGAAAGGGGGACGACCUGUUGAGUCAGGAGCCGGCACAGGUGGUGCAUGGCUGUCGUCAGCUCGUGCCGUGAGGUGUUGGGUUAAGUCCCGCAACGAGCGCAACCCUCACCCUAUGUUGCCAUCAGGUUAUGCUGGGCACUCUUGGGGAACCGCCGGCGAAGAGCUGGAGGAAGGGGGGGAUGACGUCAAGUCAGCAUGACCUUUAUGCCUAGGGCUACACACACGCUACAAUGGGUAGGAACAGUAGGAUGCGAAGCCGCGAGGCGGAGCCAAUCCUCAAAACUAUCCUCAGUUCAGAUUGCAGGCUGCAACUCGCCUGCAUGAAGUCGGAGUUGCUAGUAAACGCGCGUCAGCUAUAGUGCGUUGAAUACGUUCCCGGGCCUUGUACACACCGCCCGUCACGUCAUGGAAGCCGGUAACACCUGAAGCCGGUGGGCUAACCCGCAAGGGAAGCAGCCGUCUAGGGUGGGACUGGUGACUGGGACGAAGUCGUAACAAGGUAACCU